GUAAACCUAAAGACUUUCUCUCUCAGAAGAAGCUCUGACUCCACCAGAUCACCAACCAGCUCUGAGGAUGAACCUCCACAUUGUCUUCAUGAUGGCCCUGUGAUGGACUGGUGACCUGUCCAUGGUGAGCCCUGCCUCUCAUCUGAUGGCUGCUGGAGAUGGGCACCACCAGCCCCCCUCACCACCCUGCAAGGAUCAGCGUGUUCAGAUCAUGGUUGUCAUGGAUGGAAAGAUUUUAAGGCAAAGAAGAAACCCAGAAAUGUUUUUCCCCCCCAGGCAUCCGGUCCCAAUCAUCAUCAGUUCUCAUGAUGUCACAUACACAGCGAGUACAAAACGUCUUAAAAUU